UUUUUAAGAUGGGAAUGUCCAAGAAAAGGAAGGUUAAAGACUUUGGGACAGGAUGUUUUGUUUCAUGAUCAUUUUCUGCAGGGGGAUGGGGAGAGAUGACAGGCCAUCUUAAUCCCACUUAAUUCCUGAGAAUUCUUCCCUGAUUAGUCACACUCCAAGCCAGGGAAAGGUCUCCUGUUAUUCCUGUGAAACAAGGAAAAGUGAUAGCAGUGCAUGCUCCUGUGGAAAUGCACAUACAUUCCUGCCCUUUAUUUUCUAAUUCAUGGAUGAAAAGUGACUGUAAGGAUCAGUGUGAACAGAAGCAAAAAGAGCUAAAUACAGCUGACAGCUACUGAUGCAUAAGUAAUACGUGAGUAUUAUGGCAGUUUGUCAUAGAGUUCAAGGAUUAAAUAGAGUUUCAAAAUUAUGUGUGACAAAAAAAAAUUGAUACUAAAUUCACAGAAUUAAAGGAAUCUUCAGGUAGCACCACAUCCUGCACCACCAUAAUCAAUGGGAGAUUUAUCAGACCCAUCAUUGCCCACACUCUGGGACUGUGGGCCUAAAGCAAGGACAAACCUGUAGUAACUAUCUCUAUCAAAAGUUUUUUCCAAGAACAUUGCAGUAUACUAGGUGGCAGAAUUUGGAAACUGACACAUGCCCAAAUUUUCAAGAUGAGUAAACACGUACAUUGAAGUUUUGAGAGACAAUACAUACAAUGUGAUCCAUUUCAAAGCAGGUCAGUAUGAAUACAAAAAGUAGAAAAUGGCACUUGUUCAGAGACUGAAAUUGUACAGUAAUCCUAACCUCUCUAUGAUCCGUUCUAACAGAGGUGUCAAAUAUUCCAGUUUUCACAAAUCUUGGGGAAAUUAUGUCAAAGGCUGAAGACACAGUAAGGUGUCUUUGAUACAUAACUAUUUAUUUGCAAAUACUAACAAAAAUAUCUUUCCCUGAAUAUGAGGAAUUCCUCUACCAAACCUUAUUAAACUUACUGGCUGAUCUGAUAAUUCCUGAAGAUCUUUUUCAUCAAGGAUGUAUUUCAUCUGAUUCUGUGACAAAUGAAACUUGGUGUCUACAUAUUUCUAGCUCUGAAACAGAUUUGAAUUUUUUGGGAUGGGAAACUAACUCUGUUUGAGAUCUCUUGUAGUUUCAACUUAAACCAUAAUUUUACACAAAUGCAAAGAUGCAAAUGCAGAUAUUAUCUGGUGGGUUUUUUCCAUACUGCAGUCUUCUUGCUCAAAUUUUAAAAAAAAGGGUAAAUCAACUUUCAGUCUGCUCAGAAACUUCCCCUUCCUGCUCCCCAUUUAUUUCUCUAAUUUUUUUCCCACAUCCUGACAUGUUGAGUGGUUUGCGGAUCUACACAGUCCACAGGAGUCUGAGCAACCAAAGUACAACAAGCAGGACAAGUUUUGGGGACAGUGUGACUCUUCGGCCAGGAGCUGGACUUGAUGAUCCUUGUGGGCCCCUUCCAACUCACUGUGGUCCCAUAAGUCAGUCACAUCUGAAGAAAGGAGACUAACUCCUUCAUGGAUCAGCACGACCUCCUGGUGAUGGGAAUGGUGUUGUCUCAGUUCAAGCUCCUGUGUGUAAACUCACUGCYGAAGAGAGGAUGCUCCUUCAGAAAGCACUUGACUGGCAGGAAGCGUUUUUCUGUCACUGGAUAUCUUUCCUGCCAAACCCCCAAAGGCUGAAGAAGGAUUUGCAGAAAGCUGCAGACAUUCAGCUGCACUGCAUGUCUUCAAAUAUCCCAAGGAAGAGACACAAACCACAUAUGAGAUCAUUGGCAGGGGAUUCCUGGAACAGAUCCUACACAAGUCUGAAGAUGCACAAG